GAGUUUGAUCCUGGCUCAGAACGAACGCUGGCGGCGUGGAUAAGACAUGCAAGUCGAACGAGAGAAUUGCUAGCUUGCUAAUAAUUCUCUAGUGGCGCACGGGUGAGUAACACGUGAGUAACCUGCCCCCGAGAGCGGGAUAGCCCUGGGAAACUGGGAUUAAUACCGCAUAGUAUCGAAAGAUUAAAGCAGCAAUGCGCUUGGGGAUGGGCUCGCGGCCUAUUAGUUAGUUGGUGAGGUAACGGCUCACCAAGGCGAUGACGGGUAGCCGGUCUGAGAGGAUGUCCGGCCACACUGGAACUGAGACACGGUCCAGACACCUACGGGUGGCAGCAGUCGAGAAUCAUUCACAAUGGGGGAAACCCUGAUGGUGCGACGCCGCGUGGGGGAAUGAAGGUCUUCGGAUUGUAAACCCCUGUCAUGUGGGAGCAAAUUAAAAAGAUAGUACCACAAGAGGAAGAGACGGCUAACUCUGUGCCAGCAGCCGCGGUAAUACAGAGGUCUCAAGCGUUGUUCGGAAUCACUGGGCGUGAAGCGUGCGUAGGCUGUUUCGUAAGUCGUGUGUGAAAGGCGCGGGCUCAACCCGCGGACGGCACAUGAUACUGCGAGACUAGAGUAAUGGAGGGGGAACCGGAAUUCUCGGUGUAGCAGUGAAAUGCGUAGAUAUCGAGAGGAACACUCGUGGCGAAGGCGGGUUCCUGGACAUUAACUGACGCUGAGGCACGAAGGCCAAGGGAGCGAAAGGGAUUAGAUACCCCUGUAGUCCUGGCAGUAAACGGUGCACGCUUGGUGUGCGGGGAAUCGACCCCCUGCGUGCCGGAGCUAACGCGUUAAGCGUGCCGCCUGGGGAGUACGGUCGCAAGAUUAAAACUCAAAGAAAUUGACGGGGACCCGCACAAGCAGUGGAGUAUGUGGCUUAAUUCGAUGCAACGCGAAGAACCUUACCUGGGCUUGACAUGUAAUGAACAACAUGUGAAAGCAUGCGACUCUUCGGAGGCGUUACACAGGUGCUGCAUGGCCGUCGUCAGCUCGUGUCGUGAGAUGUUUGGUUAAGUCCAGCAACGAGCGCAACCCCUGUUGCCAGUUACCAGCACGUGAAGGUGGGGACUCUGGCGAGACUGCCCAGAUCAACUGGGAGGAAGGUGGGGACGACGUCAGGUCAGUAUGGCCCUUAUGCCCAGGGCUGCACACGUACUACAAUGCCCAGUACAGAGGGGGCCGAAGCCGCGAGGCGGAGGAAAUCCUAAAAACUGGGCCCAGUUCGGACUGUAGGCUGCAACCCGCCUACACGAAGCCGGAAUCGCUAGUAAUGGCGCAUCAGCUACGGCGCCGUGAAUACGUUCCCGGGUCUUGUACACACCGCCCGUCACAUCAUGGAAGCCGGUCGCACCCGAAGUAUCUGAAGCCAACCGCAAGGAGGCAGGGUCCUAAGGUGAGACUGGUAACUGGGAUGAAGUCGUAACAAGGUAGCCGUAGGGGAACCUGCGGCUGGAUCACCUCCUU
rnacentral:rRNA from 1 species